rnacentral:tRNA from 1 species
GCGUCUGUAGCUCAGUGGAUAGCGUGUUGUUUCUAAGUAGAAGGUCGUGGGUUCGACCCCUACCUAAAGCG